GAUGAACGCUAGCGGCAGGCCUAAUACAUGCAAGUCGAGGGGCAGCGCGGUAGCAAUACUGGCGGCGACCGGCGCACGGGUGCGUAACACGUAUGCAACCUACCUUCAACUGGAGGAUAGCCCGGGGAAACUCGGAUUAAUACUCCAUAACACAGGGAUCCCGCAUGGGAAUAUUGUUAAAGCUACGGCGGUUGAAGAUGGGCAUGCGUUCGAUUAGCUAGUUGGUGUAGGUAACGGCUCACCAAGGCUACGAUCGAUAGGGGGUCUGAGAGGAUGAUCCCCCCACACUGGUACUGAGAUACGGACCAGACUCCUACGGGAGGCAGCAGUAGGGAAUAUUGGUCAAUGGGCGCAAGCCUGAACCAGCCAUGCCGCGUGCAGGAAGAAGGGCCCCUCUGGGGUUGUAAAACUGCUUUUGAUAGGGAACAAAUGCCACUUGCGAGUGGAGCUGAGUGUACCUAUAGAAUAAGCACCGGCUAACUCCGUGCCAGCAGCCGCGGUAA
rnacentral:rRNA from 1 species